CCACCCCCAAGCCCCCAUCCAGGCCAUUCCUGCAGGAGAUCCUUCUCCCAUGGGGCUCCACCCCCCAACCCCAGCCCAGUCGGCUUCCAGGAUCCUAGGAAGCACAGAGCCAGGAAACCACUGCCCUGGGGGGCCUCCCAGAGAGCUGCACUGCAGGGUCUGGCUGGGAAGGGCCCUGCAACCCCGCCUGUGUGUGGGGGGAGGGAAAGUUGCAGAGGAGACUCAGUGCUGCUGGUGGCUGGUGGGAGCCCCAGGGCUGCUGGCCCAGGCCCCGCUUCUGUCCUUCCCCUUUUGGACCAACCGUACCCCCUCCCCUGUUGUGGGAAGUCAGGGACCCCAAAUGGAGGGACCGGCUGAAGCCACGGCAGAAGAACGUGGAUUGUGAAGAUUUUAUGGACACUUAUUAGUUCCUCAAGUUAAUACUUUUAUAAUUUCUUAUGCCUGUCUUUACUGCAAUCUCUAAACAUAAAUUGUAAAGAUUUCAUGGACACUUAUCACUUCCCCAGUCAAUACCCUUGUGAUUUCCUAUGCCUGUCUUUACUUUAAUCUCUUAAUCCUGUCAGCUGAGGAGGAUGUAUAUUGCCUCAGGACCCUGUAAUAAUUGUGUUAACUACAAAAAUUGUACAGCAUGUGUGUUUGAGCAAUAUGAAAUCUGAGCACCUUGAAAAAAGAACAGGAUAACAGCAAUUGUUCAGGGAAUAAGAGAGAUAACCUUAAACUCUAACCGCAGGUGAGUCAGGCAGAACAGAGCCAUAUUUCUCUUCUUUCAAAAGCAAAUGGGAGAAAUAUCGCUGAAUUCUUUUUCUCAGCAUGGGAUAUCCCUGAGAAAGAGAAUACGCACCUGGAGGUAUUGGCUUAUAAACAGCCCCCCCAGGUGGGCCUGUCUCUUAUGGUUGAGGCUGCAGAGAUGAAAUAAACUCCAGUCUCCCAUAGCGCUCCCAGGCUUAUUAGGAAGAGGAAAUUCCCACCUAAUAAAUUUUGGUCAGACCGGUUGAUGUCAAAACCCUGUCUCCUGAUAAGAUGUUAUCAGUGACAGUGGUGCCCAAAACUUCAUUAGCAAUUUUAAUUUUGCUUCGGUCCUGUGGUCCUGUGAUCUCGCCCUGCCUCCACUGGCCUUGUGAUAUUCUAUUACCCUGUUAAGUACUUGCUGUCUGUCACCCACACCUAUUCACACACUCCCUCCCCUUUUGAAACUCCCUAAUAAAAACUUGCUGGUUUUUGCGGCUUGUGGGGCAUCACAGAUCCUACCAACGUGUGAUGUCUCCCCCGGAUGCCCA
rnacentral:lncRNA from 1 species